GGCUUUGUGGUCUAGUGGUAUGAUUCUUGCUUCGGGUGUAAGAGGUCUCGGGUUCGAAUCCCGACAAAGCCC
rnacentral:tRNA from 1 species